rnacentral:rRNA from 1 species
GGUUUGAUCCUGGCUCCGUUGAACGCUGGCGGGAUGCUUUACACAUGCAAGUCAGACAUGUACGGGCCAGUCCUGGGUGGCGAGUGGCGAACGGGUGAGUAAUGCUUAUCGGAACGUGCCUAGUAGCGGGGGAUAACUACGCGAAAGCGUAGCUAAUACCACCUUCGCCCUUCGGGGGAAAGCGGGGGACCUUCGGGCCUCGCACUAUUAAGCGGCCGAUAUCGGAUUAGCUAGUUGGUGGGGUAACGGCUCACCAGGCGACGAUCGUAGCGCUGGUUUGAGAGGACGACCAUACACUGGGACUGAGACACGGCCCAGACUCCUACGGGAGGCAGCAGUGGGGGAAUUUUGGACAAUGGAAACCCUGAUCCCAGCCAUCCCGCGUGUGCGAUGAAGGCCUUCGGGUUGUAAAGCACUUUGGCAGGAAAAACAGCACGGGAUAAUGCCCAUUACAGCAGGCAUCGGCUGCCUGCAGAAUAAGCGCCGGCUAACUACGUGCCAGCGGCCGCCCAGUGUGCGGCGUAGGGUGCGAGCGUUAAUCGGAAUUACUGGGCGUAAAGCGUGCGCGGGCGGUUCGGAAGAAGAUGUGAAAUCCCAGAGCUUAACUUUGGAACUGCAUUUUUAACUGCCGAGCUAGAGUGUGUCAGAGGAGGUGGAAUUCCCGCGUGUAGCGAGUGAAUGCGUAGAUAUGCGGAGGAACACCGAUGGCGAAGGCAGCCUCCUGGGAUAACACUGACGCUCAUGCACGAAAGCGUGGGGAGCAAACAGGAUUGAAUACCCUGGUAGUCCACGCCCUAAACGAUGUCAACUAGCUGUUGGGGCCUUCAGGCCUUGGUAAGCGCACCAGCUAACGCGUGAAGUUGACCGCCUGGGAAGUACGGUCGCAAGAUUAAAAACUCAAAGAAAUUGACAGGGACCCGCACAAGCGGUGGAUGAUGGAUUAAUUCGAUCCCAACGCGAAAAACCACCUACCCUUGACAUGUCUGGAAUCGAGAUUUGGGAGUGCUCGCAAGAGAACCGGAACACAGGUGCUGCAUGGCUGUCGUCAGCUCGUGUCGUGAGAUGUUGGGUUAAGUCCCGCAACUUGACGCAACCCUUGUCAUUAGUUGCUACGAAGGGCACUCUAAUGAGACUGCCGGUGACAAACCGGAGGAAGGUGGGGAUGACGUCAAGUCCUCAUGGCCCUCAUGGGUAGGGCUUCACGUCAUACAAUGGUCGGGACAGAGGGUCGCCAACCCGCGAGGGGGGUAAUCCCAGAAACCCGAUCGUAGUCCGGAUCGCAGUCUGCAACUCGACUGCGUGAAGUCGGAAUCGCUAUUAAUCGCGGAUCAACUCAGCGGUGAAUACGUUCCCGGGUCUUGUACACACCGCCCGUCACACCAUGGGAGUGGGUUUUACCAGAAGUAGUUAGCCUAACCGUAAGAAGGAGGGCGAUUACCACGGUGGGGAUUCGCGGCUGGGGUGAAGUCAACAAGGUAG